GACGAACGCUGGCGGCGUGCUUAACACAUGCAAGUCGAACGGAGUGGCGAACGGGUGAGUAACACGUGGGUGACCUGCCCUGCACUUAGGGAUAAGCCUGGGAAACUGGGUCUAAUACCGGAUAGUGGGGGAGGGGCCCGCGGCCUAUCAGCUUGGUGGUGGGGUAAUGGCCUACCAAGGCGGCGACGGGCAGCAGGACUGGGAGGGUGGACGGGCACGUUGCGACUGAGACCCGGCCCAGACUCUUACGGGAGGCAGCAGUGGGGAAUAUUGCACACUGGGCGGAAGCCUGAUGCAGCGACGCCGGGUGGGGGAUGACGGCCUUCGGGUUGGAAACUCCUUCCACCAUCGACGCGGUAGAUGGAGAAGAAGCACCGGCUAACUACGUGCCAGCCGCCGCGGUAAUUC
rnacentral:rRNA from 1 species